AUAGAACCUGUAACUAUGGCACUAUACAGAUUUCUACUAGCUAAUAUUCCGCAAGCAGCAGACAGCGCCCCGUUUUUAGAGAAAUAACCUCACUCAUAUGCCAUAAUUCGUUUUUCACAUACAGAGGAGAAUUUUUACAGACAAAUUCUGGGAGUUCCCAUAGGCAGCCCGAUGGCGGGCCCGUUAGCAGAGAUCCUCCUAAGGCAGUUGGAACCACAGACCAUCAACAGAUUCAGGCCAAAUAUCAAAUUCUAUGUGAGGUACAUUGACAAUAUACUAGCUGUUUGGAAGAGUGAGCUGGAGAUAGGGGACCUGGAAGAGGCAUUUACUAUGCCGUCGUAUGGCCUUAAGCUGAAGAGAACACAAGCGCCUCAACCAACAGCAAACUUUUUAAAU
rnacentral:lncRNA from 1 species